UUUUCAACUUACCGAGGAAAAAAAAAAUAAUUCAACCCCUAUUGCCAAUAUGUAUUGUUGUUAUUGCAGUCUCGUACCCAGACGCCGCGCGAUGCAUGACGGUCAGGAUGCGGUUUCGGGGUCGGAAUUCGCUUGACGUCUGGCAGAACUCAGGAAAUAUCUUGCAAGUUUUUCAAACAUCUAGCAAGCAGCGUUUUUACGACCUUUUUUUUUUACUUUUUUUGCGCACAAGUCCAAGGGCCUACCUACACACACUCGUUGUAAACCAUUUAGUUUUAUUUUCGGUGGUUUCUUGUUCAAUUCUAGACGAUAUUUUCGUUUCGUAAAACGCAAGACUGCGGACGACACUGGUGAGCUCGAUACAUUAUUUCAUGAAAUGAAUUUGGAUGGUCUGAGUGUUCUGGCACUCAUUUGAACUCAUACUGCUCCGGUUGGAUUGUAUUUAUCACAAAUAUACACUUUCAGAUAUAUAAUUCGAGCACAUACUGUCUUUAUGUUCCCUAGAAGAAGCUCAAUAGCGGCGAGGAAGUCACUAUUCGCACAUGACCUUACGCCGAAUUCCAAACUCCACUAAGCUAUUUCUGCAGUUGUCAUGUGCACAUGGAAUUUCACAGGCAAGAAAUGCAGUAUGGAUAGGUCCUUCUUCGUCUGUGAAAAUUCGUAACAUUUUUGCUCGCCGAUUUCGUCCGCCAUCUUGGAUCUGUAAUCUGCCAGUCGUUAUUUUUUUCCAUCCUCGCUUCAGGAUUCCUGUGGAUGUCCACGCAACAGCAGAUAACGACUGGGGACUAGCUGAGGGCCAAGAGGAAUGCUAAAGACUGGAAGACAUGAGAAUUGAAAAUCAUGUCUUGAAAGAUAACAGUAGGGAGUUCUUAUUCACUAGUCAUUUGAUACCACCCCACACAUGGUCCCAGGAAAGGGUGGGGGAUUAGACUUUAAUAAAUGCCUGUUACCAAGUUAAGAGUAAAAAACAGUCAAUACCACCACCCCUCUUUAUA